rnacentral:misc_RNA from 1 species
UUGAAUUUAAUAAUAUUUGUGAACGUACUACCACAACAAAAAAUCAAUUAUAAGUCAAUAAUAAAAAUUAAUCA